CAGUAGCCGCGGGAAUACGUAGGGUGCAAGCGUUAUCCGGAAUUAUUGGGCGUAAAGAGCUCGUAGGCGGUUUGUCGCGUCUGCUGUGAAAACUGGAGGCUCAACCUCCAGCCUGCAGUGGGUACGGGCAGACUAGAGUGCGGUAGGGGAGAUUGGAAUUCCUGGUGUAGCGGUGGAAUGCGCAGAUAUCAGGAGGAACACCGAUGGCGAAGGCAGAUCUCUGGGCCGUAACUGACGCUGAGGAGCGAAAGCGUGGGGAGCGAACAGGAUUAGAUACCCGAGUAGUCCCUGUCUCUUAUAC
rnacentral:rRNA from 1 species